rnacentral:rRNA from 1 species
GAUGAACGCUGGCGGCGUGCUUAACACAUGCAAGUCGAGCGAAGCACUUAGGAAAGAUUCUUCGGAUGAUUUCCUAUUUGACUGAGCGGCGGACGGGUGAGUAACGCGUGGGUAACCUGCCUCAUACAGGGGGAUAACAGUUAGAAAUGACUGCUAAUACCGCAUAAGACCACAGCACCGCAUGGUGCAGGGGUAAAAACUCCGGUGGUAUGAGAUGGACCCGCGUCUGAUUAGUUAGUUGGUGGGGUAACGGCCUACCAAGGCGACGAUCAGUAGCCGACCUGAGAGGGUGACCGGCCACAUUGGGACUGAGACACGGCCCAAACUCCUACGGGAGGCAGCAGUGGGGAAUAUUGCACAAUGGGGGAAACCCUGAUGCAGCGACGCCGCGUGAGCGAAGAAGUAUUUCGGUAUGUAAAGCUCUAUCAGCAGGGAAGAAA